CACGAACGCUGGCGGCAGGCUUAACACAUGCAAGUCGAACGCCCCGCAAGGGGAGUGGCAGACGGGUGAGUAACGCGUGGGAAUCUACCUAGUUCUACGGAACAACAGUUGGAAACGACUGCUAAUACCGUAUACGCCCUACGGGGGAAAGAUUUAUCGGAAUUAGGUGAGCCCGCGUGAGAUUAGCUAGUUGGUGGGGUAAUGGCCCACCAAGGCGACGAUCUUUAGCUGGUCUGCGAGGAUGAUCAGCCACACUGGGACUGAGACACGGCCCAGCAUCCGACGGGAGGCACCAGUGGGGAAUAUUGGACAAUGGGCGCAAGCCUGAUCCAGCCAUGCCGCGUGAGUGAUGAAGGCCUUAGGGUUGUAAAGCUCUUUCACCGAUGAAGAUAAUGACGGUAGUCGGAGAAGAAGCCCCGGCUAACUUCGUGCCAGCCGCCGCCGUAAUAC
rnacentral:rRNA from 1 species